UUGUUUGGUGAUUAGUGGUCGUUUAAUUAAUUAAUAAAUCCGGUUAAAAGUUAAUAAAUUGUUAAUAUAUUUUGAAUAAAUAUGAAAUCUAAAUGUUUGUUAACGUUGUGUGUAAAAAUGUAGUUAAAAAGUAACUUGUAAAUUUGUAAGAAUAGUAAAACUGUUUGGAAAAAGAUAAAAUGCUGAGCCGGUGGUUGCUUUAGUUUGGCCAUUCGUUGUUAAUAAGUGUGAGUUGGUGUGCGGGUAGUGGAGUGUGUUAAGCUCAUUGGUUAGUUGGUUGGUUGGAAAGUGGAAAAAAAGGUUUUAAUGAGAAAUGAAAAUCUUUUAUAAGUUUUGUAAAGAAAAAUUAAGAAGUAAAAUAAUUUUAUAUAAGUAUGUAAAAGCUUUCAAUUAUAGUAAAGGAAAUGAGAAGGAAAUCAAGUGUAGAUCUUUGUAAGAAAAAAGCUAAGAAAGUAAAAAAGUCGUGAAAGUAAAUAAAAAAUCUUUGAAAUAAAACAGAAAAAUAAUGAUAAAUAAAAGGCUAAUUAAAAAUUUGUGAAUGAGGGGAAAUAAAAUUGUGGGCGGAAAGGAAACAAGUGUUAAAUAAGAUAUCAUAUGUACAUUAGAGUGCUCCAAGCUUGUAUGAAGGGAAAAAAAUGUUAUUCGACAGGCCAUCCCCCCUCUGGAAUUGUUCCAUGGCUACACUCACAAAAUUUUUACAUUGCUGACAUAAAGCAAGGACUGGAUCAAUUUACACAUAGACGAGUUUCAAAUCCAUAUAGGAAUUGUUGUUUGGUUCUUGUAUAUCUCAAAGUUGAACGGAAUCGGUUCUUAAAAUUGUUUAUUAUGUGUACCUAUGUAUUUUAAAAAUUUCUUUAAAUA